rnacentral:rRNA from 1 species
UUUGCGUCGAAGGUAUACCGGUAAGGAGUGCUGGAGCGAAUAGAAGUGAGCAUGCAGGCAUGAGUAGCGAUAAUUAAUGUGAGAAUCAUUAACGCCGUAAACCCAAGGUUUCCUACGCGAUGCUCGUCAUCGUAGGGUUAGUCGGGUCCUAAGUCGAGUCCGAAAGGGGUAGACGAUGGCAAAUUGGUUAAUAUUCCAAUACCAACAUUAGUGUGCGAUGGAAGGACGCUUAGGGCUAAGGGGGCUAGCGGAUGGAAGUGCUAGUCUAAGGUCGUAGGAGGUUAUACAGGCAAAUCCGUAUAACAAUACUCCGAGAACUGAAAGGCUUUUUGAAGUCUUCGGAUGGAUAGAAGAACCCCUGAUGCCGUCGAGCCAAGAAAAGUUUCUAAGUUUAGCUAAUGUUGCCCGUACCGUAAACCGACACAGGUGGGUGGGAUGAGUAUUCUAAGGCGCGUGGAAGAACUCUCUUUAAGGAACUCUGCAAAAUAGCACCGUAUCUUCGGUAUAAGGUGUGGUUAGCCUUGUAUUAGGAUUUACUCCGAAAGCAAGGAAACUUACAACAAAGAGUCCCUCCCGACUGUUUACCAAAAACACAGCACUCUGCUAACUCGUAAGAGGAUGUAUAGGGUGUGACGCCUGCCCGGUGCUCGAAGGUUAAUUGAUGGGGUUAGCAUUAGCGAAGCUCUUGAUCGAAGCCCGAGUAAACGGCGGCCGUAACUAUAACGGUCCUAAGGUAGCGAAAUUCCUUGUCGGUUAAAUACCGACCUGCAUGAAUGGCGUAACGAGAUGGGAGCUGUCUCAAAGAGGGAUCCAGUGAAAUUGUAGUGGAGGUGAAAAUUCCUCCUACCCGCGGCAAGACGGAAAGACCCCGUGGACCUUUACUACAGCUUGACACUGCUACUUGGAUAAGAAUGUGCAGGAUAGGUGGGAGGCUUUGAGUAUAUGACGCCAGUUGUAUAUGAGCCAUUGUUGAGAUACCACUCUUUCUUAUUUGGGUAGCUAACCAGCUUGAGUUAUCCUCAAGUGGGACAAUGUCUGGUGGGUAGUUUGACUGGGGCGGUCGCCUCCCAAAUAAUAACGGAGGCUUACAAAGGUUGGCUCAGAACGGUUGGAAAUCGUUCGUAGAGUAUAAAGGUAUAAGCCAGCUUAACUGCAAGACAUACAAGUCAAGCAGAGACGAAAGUCGGUCUUAGUGAUCCGGUGGUUCUGUGUGGAAGGGCCAUCGCUCAAAGGAUAAAAGGUACCCCGGGGAUAACAGGCUGAUCUCCCCCAAGAGCUCACAUCGACGGGGAGGUUUGGCACCUCGAUGUCGGCUCAUCGCAUCCUGGGGCUGGAGCAGGUCCCAAGGGUAUGGCUGUUCGCCAUUUAAAGCGGUACGCGAGCUGGGUUCAGAACGUCGUGAGACAGUUCGGUCCCUAUCUGCCGUGGGCGUAAGAAGAUUGAAGAGAUUUGACCCUAGUACGAGAGGACCGGGUUGAACAAACCACUGGUGUAGCUGUUGUUCUGCCAAGAGCAUCGCAGCGUAGCUAAGUUUGGAAAGGAUAAACGCUGAAAGCAUCUAAGCGUGAAGCCAACUCUAAGAUGAAUCUUCUCUAAGCUCUCUAGAAGACUACUAGUUUGAUAGGCUGGGUGUGUAAUGGAUGAAAGUCCUUUAGCUGACCAGUACUAAUAGAGCGUUUGGCUUAUCUUU